AUUGAACGCUGGCGGCAUGCUUUACACAUGCAAGUCGAACGGUAACAGGCCUUCGGGUGCUGACGAGUGGCGAACGGGUGAGUAAUGCAUCGGAACGUGCCCAGAGGUGGGGGAUAACGCAGCGAAAGCUGUGCUAAUACCGCAUGUGAUCUGAGGAUGAAAGCGGGGGACCAGGCAGCAAUGUUUGGCCUCGCGCCUUUGGAGCGGCCGAUGUCAGAUUAGGUAGUUGGUGGGGUAAAGGCCUACCAAGCCGACGAUCUGUAGCUGGUCUGAGAGGACGACCAGCCACACUGGGACUGAGACACGGCCCAGACUCCUCCGGGAGGCAGCAGUGGGGAAUUUUGGACAAUGGGCGCAAGCCUGAUCCAGCAAUGCCGCGUGCGGGAAGAAGGCCUUCGGGUUGUAAACCGCUUUUGUACGGAACGAAAAGGCUCUGGCUAAUACCUGGGGCUGAUGACGGUACCGUAAGAAUAAGCACCGGCUAACUACGUG
rnacentral:rRNA from 1 species